AGCAGCCAAGGACUGGCCUGGGACCAGAAGAGGCCAGUGAUGAAGAGGCCAGUAGGAGAGCCCGAAGAAUUGCUGGGACUUUUUAGUGCUUUUCCUAAAGCUUCUGAGAAGCCCCCUUCCUUUACAGAUUUUUGUUUUGAUUCGUUUGAUUCGUUUAAGUCCUUCAAUUAGACUUCUAGACUUCAUGGGGCUUUGCCUUAGUGAUGUCAUAAGGGUAUCUGAGGGAUGGUGAUUAGAGUGGUUCACGAGAAGCUGACCCAUCGCAGCAUCACCUCCUCACGUUACAAGGUAAGACAGCGUUACCAGGAUCAAGACCCAGGAAUGUCUCACCAGUGAGGCUGUGCUGAGCACAGUCAGCAGCGGCAUUGUCUCUGCUGUGGAGGUCUUCACAACCAUGUGUUGUGUGUUGAGACAGGUCAGCUCCUUCCCAUACUCUUGGGAGAGAGUUCUUGUCAUUGAGUA